GCCCGUUUUUGAAAUGAUGAACAAAGACAGAUUUACUAAUACGAUUAAACAUUGAAUGUUCAUUGGUCGCCUGUUACGUCAUCGGCUGCCAUCGACCAAUGACCGCACAUUAAAUUCGAAUUAGUUAAUCUGAUUUUGAUCAGCACCAGAAACCAGAGUUUGAAUAGUUUGCAAAAUCCGCCUUGAAUCUAUAAACAAUCACGUUUUUGUAUCGAUCUUAUUACUUACAGCUUUUGCGUUUAACCGAAAACUCUGGACGAAAAAUGAACCAGCCCUCCUGUCAUCAGUAGAGGCAAUAAGACCCCCGUCUAAUAUGGCGUGUAUCCUGGUUAUGGUGGCGAUGUCUGCUCCGUACGGAGCAGAGCCUGUACAAAGCGAUUGAGAAGAAACUUAAUUAUUUAAUUAUUAUCAUUUUCUGAUAACAAUCGCCUUUAUUCUUUGAUAAUUAUAAAUAAAUCCAUUUAAAACGUU